AGAACCCUACCCAGAAAGGUCUUUUGUCUUUCUUGCAUUGUUUGUGUAUAGCAGCAUGUAAAAAGUACUAGACUGUAAAUUAAGUGUAACGUUCAGA